GAUGAACGCUGGCGGCGUGCCUAAUACAUGCAAGUCGAGCGAACAGACGAGGAGCUUGCUCCUCUUACUUUAGCGGCGGACGGGUGAGUAACACGUGUAUAACCUACCUAUAAGACUGGGAUAACUUCGGGGAACCGUAGCUAAUACCGGAUAAUAUCUUGAACCGCAUGGUUCAAUAGUGAAGGACGGUUUUGCUUUCACUUAUAGAUGGAUCCGCGCCGCAUUAGGUAGUUGGUAAGGUAACGGCUUACCAAGGCAACGAUGCGUAGCCGACCUGAGAGGGUGAUCAGCCACACUGGAACUGAGACACGGUCCAGACUCCUACGGGAGGCAGCAGUAGGGAAUCUUGCGCAAUGGGCGGAAGCCUGAUGGAGCAAUGCCGCGUGAGUGAUGAAGGUCUUAGGAUCGUAAAACUCUGUUAUUAGGGAAGAACAACUGUGUAAGUAAAUAUGAAUGUCUUGACGGUACCUAAUCAGAAAGCCACGGCUAACUAGGUG
rnacentral:rRNA from 1 species